rnacentral:rRNA from 1 species
GACGAAGGGGGCUAGCGUUGUUCGGAAUUAUUGGGCGUAAAGAGCUUGUAGGCGGUCUGUCGCGUCUGCUGUGAAAAUCCGGGGCUCAACCCCGGACUUGCAGUGGGUACGGGCAGACUAGAGUGUGGUAGGGGAGACUGGAAUUCCUGGUGUAGCGGUGAAAUGCGCAGAUAUCAGGAGGAACACCGAUGGCGAAGGCAGGUCUCUGGGCCACUACUGACGCUGAGAAGCGAAAGCAUGGGGAGCGAACAGG